rnacentral:lncRNA from 1 species
UUUAAAGAAUGCUCGACUCAUUUCCUUAUUCUUUUUGGUUUCUGAGGGACCUGGUUCAGAUUUCUGUUCCUUUAUGGAAACAGAUGUUUCAAUCGUGGUAACUUGCUUUCCUAGAGAUUGCAGUAACUUGUAGUUAUUCUACUGAAUGACUGCACCUAUAUCUUCUUUACUAGUUGUGCGAAAACUUUUGGCACUAUCUUCAAGGAAAGUCGUUUCUUUGUAGGGAGCUGCUAUCAC